UUUUUUUGAUGUCCUAAACCAUGACUUCACUAAAUGAAGUUGAUUUGCUGACGGUGCAAAAAAGGAACCAUGGCUCUUUAACAACUGGUUUGUUGCUACUCAUAGAUGGGAGGCUGCUCCUAUUUUGACUUUUGUCACUACUAUUGAUCUUUGGGUGCAGAUUCGUGGAGUUCCUCUUCUAUAUGUGUGUGAAGAGACUACUUUGGAGAUAGCUCAAGAAUUGGGAGAGAUCAUCAUGAUGGAUUAUCAUGAUGCUACCUCAACUCAAAUAGUCUAUAUUAGAGUAAGGGUUCGUUUUGGUAUCACUCACAAACUCAGAUUUUUCCAGAGGAUCAUCUUUGAAUAUGGUGAAACUGCAAUCAUAAGAUUCCAGUAUGAACGUCUCAAGCGAAUAUGUAGCAUGUGUUUCUGGUUUACUCAGAGACUAUUGUCCCUAUCGUCAGUGUCCUCACAACAUAGCAAGAGAAAGGGCUCUCUUCCGAGAUAGUGUUUUCAGAUCAAGUUUGAAUUCUCAGUCUCAUAUGACUUAGACUUUGUUUCCAGCUCCCUUGACACCGCCUCCAAGAGUAGCUCCUCCUCCGCUGAAUCAUGAAGAAUUGGCGGCUGCAAUUCCAUAUUUUGCCACAACAAGAGAUGCUCAUAACAUAUAUGGUGGGAGUCUAGUACUACAAGACAACAAGGGUCAUCAAACUCUAACAACACUCCACCACGAGAAGCGGCAAACUUAUCUGGUAGUAGCAGAGUCUAUGAAGUUGGUCAAUCAUCAAGAAGGAAUGAAGCUGGAGAAGUACGAAGAGCUGUAGGGGAUCCACGACUUCAGACUCAUCAACAAGGUGCUCCAAGGAUGGGAGGAAUUCUGAAACCUCCGAAGAAAAGAUAAUCACUCUAAAAAGAAUUAUGUCAUAACUUUUUGUUUAAAGACUGCAGUGGAACAAGUAUCGUAGCUUCAAGGCUUGAAUAACAACACAUAGUUUCAGUAUGGUUUUUGUUUAGGACAUACCCUUGGCUUGGUUAUGUUUGAUGUUUGGUGUUUCAGUUUAAAUUUCUACUAAACAAUGUUUUUUGUUCUGUUUACCUUAAUCUUGUAAGUGGAAAGUCCACUGUUACACUUUUUGUAAGAUCACAGUGGUAUGAAAAACAACUUUUCAGGAAAAAAGACCAUGACUUUACUUAAAUUUU
rnacentral:sRNA from 1 species